rnacentral:rRNA from 1 species
GGACGAACGCUGGCGGCGUGCCUAACACAUGCAAGUCGAGCGGGACAUGCGACGGAUAGGAAGUUUCGGAUGGACUGAAGAUGCAUGUCUAGCGGCGGACGGUGAGUAACGCGUGAGCAACCUGUCCCUUACAGGGGAUAACACAGCGAAAGUUGUACUAAUACCGCAUAAGACCACGGGAGGACAUCCUUCAGGGGUCAAAGGAGGAAUCCGGUAAGGGGUGGGCUCGCGUCCGAUUAGAUAGUUGGUGAGGUAACGGCCCACCAAGUCGACGAUCGGUAGCCGACCUGAGAGGGUGAUCGGCCACAUUGGGACUGAGACACGGCCCAAACUCCUACGGGAGGCAGCAGUGGGGAAUAUUGGGCAAUGGGGGAAACCCUGACCCAGCAACGCCGCGUGAGGGAAGAAGGUUUUCGGAUCGUAAACCUCUGUCCUUGGUGAAGAGGAAGAGACGGUAGCCAAGGAGGAAGCCCCGGCUAACUACGUGCCAGCAGCUGC